rnacentral:rRNA from 1 species
CGGCCGCGAAAUUCGCCCUUAGAGUUUGAUCAUGGCUCAGAUUGAACGCUGGCGGCAGGCCUAACACAUGCAAGUCGAGCGGCAGCACAAGGGGGUUUACUCCUGAGGUGGCGAGCGGCGGACGGGUGAGUAAUGCCUAGGGAUCUGCCCAGUCGAGGGGGAUAACAGUUGGAAACGACUGCUAAUACCGCAUACGCCCUACGGGGGAAAGAGGGGGACUUUCGGGCCUCUCGCGAUUGGAUGAACCUAGGUGGGAUUAGCUAGUUGGUGAGGUAAUGGCUCACCAAGGCGACGAUCCCUAGCUGUUCUGAGAGGAUGAUCAGCCACACUGGGACUGAGACACGGCCCAGACUCCUACGGGAGGCAGCAGUGGGGAAUAUUGCACAAUGGGGGAAACCCUGAUGCAGCCAUGCCGCGUGUGUGAAGAAGGCCUUCGGGUUGUAAGGCACUUUCAGUAGGGAGGAAAGGUUGUAAGUUAAUACCUUGCAGCUGUGACGUUACCUACAGAAGAAGGACCGGCUAACUCCGUGCCAGCAGCCGCGGUAAUACGGAGGGUCCAAGCGUUAAUCGGAAUUACUGGGGCGUAAGGCGUGCGCCAGGCGGUUUGUUAAGCGAGAUGUGAAAAGCCCCGGGCUCAA